GGGCCAUAGCUCAGUGGCAGAGCAUCUGCUGUGCCUUCAGAGAAGGUCCCUGGUUCAAAUCCUGGCAUCUCCA